GGGGAUAUGGCUCAGUGAUAGAGCAUGUGCUUAGCAUGCGCAAGGUCCUGGGUUCACUCCCCAGUGCCUCCA
rnacentral:tRNA from 1 species